GCGAAGAAAGAGGCAGAGCAAGCAAAGGAAGCAGCUAGUACCAUGGAAAGUAGACUGCUUGCAGCUAAAAAAGAGAUAGAGGCUGCAAAAGCUUCAGAGAAGUUGGCACUAGCAGCUAUCACUGCUCUACAAGGGAAUGAAUCAACCCGAAGCACCAAUGAUGAAGUAACACUUUCUUUGCAAGAGUAUUAUGAACUCAGCAAGCAGGCCCACGAGGCAGAGGAGAAUGACUCAACCCGAAGCACCAAUGAUGAAGUAACACUUUCUUUGCAAGAGUAUUAUGAACUCAGCAAGCAGGCCCACGAGGCAGAGGAACAAGCGAACAUGAGGGUGAAUGCUGCUAUCUC
rnacentral:lncRNA from 1 species